rnacentral:lncRNA from 1 species
AGUGGGCUAGUUUUUGAGAAGGAAACCGUUAUUCAUGUGGUUGAUAAAUCAUAGUUGAAAGUACUGUUCACUGAUUUGUUGUGAGAGAAAAACAUUACUGAGGUCUUGUUUAGUUUUCAAAUUUUUUUGAUUUAGAGCAUUGUAGCACUUUUCGUUUGUUUGUGAUAAAUAUUGUCCAAUUAUGGAUUAACUACGCUCAAAAGAUUUAUCUCGUGAUUUACAGACAAACUGUGUAAUUAGUUUUUUUUUACUAUAUUUAAUGUUUCAUACAUAUGCCGCAAAAUUCGAUGUGAUGGAAAAUCUUGAUUUUUUUUUUAGUUUUUUGAAUGAACUAAACAAUAAAUGGCUAGUAGAUUCGAGAGAAAACCUCAAACGAACACUAAUGCACCGGUCAGCCUGAUGGGACUUCAAUCCUAGCCUCGCAGGAGCGCGCGCAUACAAAGCCCUUUUUGUUCACCCUG